UCCCAGACUCCUACGGGAGGCAGCAGUGGGGGAUAUUGCACAAUGGGGGAAACCCUGAUGCAGCGACGCCGCGUGUAGGAAGACGGUCCUCUGGAUUGUAAACUACUGUCCCCAGGGACGAAGAUGACGGUACCUGGGGAGGAAGCUCCGACUAACUACGUGCCAGCAGCCGCGGUAAUACGGAGGAUGCGAGCGUUAUCCGGAUUUAUUGGGUUUAAAGGGUGCGCAGGCGGCACGGCAAGCCGGCGGUCAAAUCGCGGGGCUUAACCCCGCCCAGCCGUCGGAACUGCCGGGCUAGAGUGGGCGAGAAGUGCGCGGAAUGCGUGGUGUAGCGGUGAAAUGCAUAGAUAUCACGCAGAACUCCGAUUGCGAAGGCAGCGCACCGGCGCCCUACUGACGCUCAGGCACGAAAGCGUGGGUAUCGAACAGGAUUAGAUACCCGAGUACG
rnacentral:rRNA from 1 species